rnacentral:rRNA from 1 species
UACGUAAGUGACAAGCGUUAUCCGGAAUUAUUGGGUGUAAAGGGCGUGUAGGUGGACAUAUAAGUCAGAUGUUAAAGAAUUGGGCUCAACCCAGGAGAAGCAUUUGAAACUGUAUGACUAGAGUAUGGGAGAGGAAAGCGGAAUUAUCAGUGUAGCGGUGGAAUGCGUAGAUAUUGAUAGGAACGCCAAAGGUGAAGACAGCUUUCUGGACCAAUACUGACACUAAGGCGCGAAAGCUAGGGGAGCAAACAGG